AUUGAACGCUGGCGGAAUGCUUUACACAUGCCAGUCGAACGGCAGCACGGGGGCAACCCUGGUGGCGAGUGGCGAACGGGUGAGUAAUACAUCGGAACGUGCCCGGUCGUGGGGGACAACGUAGCGAAAGUUACGCUAAUACCGCAUACGAUCUGAGGAUGAAAGCGGGGGACCUUCGGGCCUCGCGCGAUCGGAGCGGCCGAUGUCAGAUUAGGUAGUUGGUGGGGUAAAGGCCUACCAAGCCGACGAUCUGUAGCUGGUCUGAGAGGACGACCAGCCACACUGGGACUGAGACACGGCCCAGACUCCUACGGGAGGCAGCAGUGGGGAAUUUUGGACAAUGGGCGCAAGCCUGAUCCAGCCAUUCCGCGUGCAGGACGAAGGCCUUCGGGUUGUAAACUGCUUUUGUAUGGAACGAAAAGGCUCUGGCUAAUACCUGGGGCUCAUGACGGUACCGUAAGAAUAAGCACCGGCUAACUACGUG
rnacentral:rRNA from 1 species